rnacentral:rRNA from 1 species
GCCAUGCANNNNNCUGUACANACUGAAAUAAAGUGAAACCACGAAUGGCUCAUUAAAUCAGUUACAAUCUAUUGGAUAUUUUUUAUCUACAUGGAUAACUGUGGUAAUUCUAGAGCUAAUACGUGCAAAAUGCCUUGACUUUACGGAAUAGGUGCACUUUAUUAGACCAAGAUCAACGGGAUACUUCGGUACUCCUUGUGAAUGGUAACUCUGGAUAACUAAGCUGAUCGCAUGGCCCCUGUGCCGGCGAUUAGUCCACAGAGUAACUGCCUUAUCAACUAGAUGGUAGGUUAAACGCCUACCAUGGUUGUAACGGGUAACGGGGAAUCAGGGUUCGAUUCCGGAGAGGGAGCCUGAGAAACGGCUACCACAUCCAAGGAAGGCAGCAGGCACGCAAAUUACCCACUCUUAGCUCGAGGAGGUAGUGACGAUAAAUACCGGUACGGGACUCUUAGGAGGCCCCGUAAUCGGAAUGAGUACGAUCUAAAUCCUCUAACGAGGAUCUAUUGGAGGGCAAGUCUGGUGCCAGCAGCCGCGGUAAUUCCAGCUCCAAUAGCGUAUAUUAAAGUUGUUGCGGUUAAAAAGCUCGUAGUUGGAUCUCAGCUCAUGUCAAGUGGUCCACCGUUUGGUGGUUACUGCUUGACUGAGUUACUUACGGAUUAGUCUUUUGAUUCUCUUAACCGAGUGUCUUAAGCGAUCCGUUCAUUUACUUUGAACAAAUUAGAGUGCUUCAAGCAGGCAUUCUGCCCGGAUAAUCUUGCAUGGAAUAAUAGAAUAGGACUUCGGUUCUAUUCUGUUGGUCUUCGGAUCCGAAGUAAUGAUUAAGAGGGACAGACGGGGGCAUUAGUAUUGCGGCGCUAGAGGUGAAAUUCUUGGACCGUCGCAAGACUAACAACAGCGAAAGCAUUUGCCAAGAAUGUUUUCAUUAAUCAAGAACGAAAGUUAGAGGUUCGAAGGCGAUCAGAUACCGCCCUAGUUCUAACCAUAAACGAUGCUAACCAGCGAUCAGCCUGAGUACUUUCAAGGACUCGGCUGAGAACUUCUCGGGAAACCAAAGUUUUUGAGUUCCGGGGGAAGUAUGGUUGCAAAACUGAAACUUAAAGGAAUUGACGGAAGGGCACCACCAGGAGUGGAGCCUGCGGCUUAAUUUGACUCAACACGGGGAAACUCACCCGGCCCGGACACUACAAGGAUUGACAGAUUGAGAGCUCUUUCUUGAUGCAGUGGGUGGUGGUGCAUGGCCGUUCUUAGUUGGUGGAUCGAUUUGUCUGGUUAAUUCCGAUAACGAACGAGACUCUGACUUACUAAAUAGUACAACAUCUCCUUCGGGCGAUGUUGAACUUCUUAGAGGGACAGGCGGCGUUUCAGCCGCACGAGAAAGAGCAAUAACAGGUCUGUGAUGCCCUUAGAUGUCCGGGGCCGCACGCGCGCUACACUGAAGAGUGCAGCGUGCGUGAAUUUCCUGCUUCGAAAGAAGUGGGAAACCAUUGGAAAUCUCUUCGUACUUGGGAUAGGGCAUUGUAACUAUACCCUUGAACGAGGAAUUCCCAGUAAGCGUGAGUCAUCACCUAGCGUUGAUUACGUCCCUGCCCUUUGUACACACCGCCCGUCGCUACUACCGAUUGAAUGAUUUAGUGAGGUCUUCAGAUUAGGUAGUGCAGAUCUUUUCGAGAUUAGCACUACUUGAGAAGAUGACCAAACUUGAUCAUUUAGAGGAAGUA